rnacentral:rRNA from 1 species
CAAUGGCUAAUUAAGAGCGUAAGGGGAAUACCUUGGCUCUCAGAGGCGAUGAAGGACGUGAUAAGCUGCGAUAAGUUACGGGGAAUGGCACAAACAUUUUGAUCCGUAAAUUUCCGAAUGGGGCAACCCGGCAUAUUGAAGAUAUGUCACACUGUAAAGUGAGCAAACCUGGUGAACUGAAACAUCUAAGUAACCAGAGGAAUAGAAAACAAAAGUGAUUCCGCUAGUAGUGGCGAGCGAACGCGGAAUAGCCCAAACCUAAAUUGUUACGGCAAUUUAGGGGUUGUAGGACCUCAACAUUUAAUGCUAAUAGAACUAGAAUUUACUGGAAAGUAAAACCAAAGA